GUGCUUCCCUGCCUCCCCUGGUGAUUUCAGCAUACAGCCAGGCUUGAGAAGAACCAUGGCUUCACACGACUGGGCUUUACCAUUUUCCAAAACUCAGUCCCAGGACACUGAAUAGUUUAGACUCCUUAAAAAAUAAAGCUUUAUAUGAUAUGUCCUUGUAAGUACAUCUCCCAUAAGCCAAUCACCCUCAAGAAGAAAUUAAGAGGCUAACCUGGAAAAAAUCAGCCUGCUUCCACCAUGAGUUGGACACUGGCAAGUUACUGCAAUUCAUGCCUUUCUCAGUGCUCCACAUGAACACAAAAAGAUCUCCCAAGGACCUCUACUUCGAAAAACUAUCGACAGUAUUUGGAUUUCCUACAAUGAUCAACGCUAAAACCAAGAGAAACCAUAAGAAAACAACUCCAAAAACACUUAUUAGGAAGAAACCAGAAUGAUUCUACAAAAGAGAA